UGCUCCACUUAUUCCGGUUUCCGGCCCACCCACAUUUUGUUCCCAAUUGGCUGUCUCGUAUUGCAUUCAUUCAAUGAAGUGCUGAGAAUAAUCUAGUGUGGGUUUUCUCUCUUGAUGACUUCCCCUGAACGAGUAAGGAGUUACCCGAAACAGGACGACACAGACUUAAAGUUGGACGAUGACUGGGAAGGGGAUGAUAAGAGAAAAUGCAGGUCAAGUAAUCCAAGGUCUGGCAACAGUGAAGAAGCUGAAGGUUUAGAUAGUAAUGGAAGAAGGAGAAGUACUGUGGACAGAAAUGAGAGUCGGAAAAGAUCAGGUGGAUCAAGCAAAACUGAUAUUGAUGAGGAUGACUAUGAGGCUGAAAACGACUUGCGGUCCAAAUUGACAAAGAAGAAACAGGGUGAGAAUACAUUGGAGACAUUGAGCAAUUGGUAUCGGGAUGGAGAACUUGGGGGAAAGUAUGAUAAUGGAGAUAAAACAGGGGAUAGAGGACAAAUCCUAGCUAAUGAGGGUGUCAGAAGGAAAUCAACUUCCAGGUUUUCUGAUGGUGAUGGUUCUCAGACUAGAAAUAAAGGUAAUAAUGAGAAGCUACAUGGUGGGGACUCUGGAAAUGCACUGGAAAGGGAUUCUAGACAUUUGGAAAGAAAGGACAGUACCACAGAAAGGGGUCAUGUGUUGUUAGAUAGCCUUGAAGAGUCGAAUAGAGACAAGAAUGGUAAAUACCCAGAAAGUGAUGAGAGAAAAAUUGACUGUGAUAGGAGUAAGAAAGGCAGGUCGUAUGCUAUAGAGGAAGACAGAGGAGGAGCAUUUUCUAUACGGGACGAUAAAUUGAGCAUAGAGAGAUUUGAGGAGCAUAGACAGCGAAAAGGUGCCACAAGUCAUGACAUUGCGGAAAACCGUGAUAGGUCUGCAGCCGCAGGUGAUGACGGUGGCUCACGGGUGCGAGAGAGAACUAGGAGAGAGUUGGACUCCUCUGAUAGGUCCAGGACACCUGAGAAGGAUGGAAGACGCCAUUACAAUUUAGAAAGCGUUGAGAUGGAAUAUGA
rnacentral:misc_RNA from 1 species